GACGAACGCUGGCGGCGUGCUUAACACAUGCAAGUCGAACGGAAAGGCCUGCUUUCCCUUGUGGAUUGCGGGUACUCGAGUGGCGAACGGGUGAGUAACACGUGAGUGAUCUGCCCCCAACUUGGGUAUAAGCCUGGGAAACUGGGUCUAAUUCCCGAUAGGACUGCAGGGUGGUGCCUGUGGUGGAAAACGAUUUUCUAGUGGUUGGGGAUGAGCUCGCGGCCUAUCAGCUUGUUGGUGGGGUAAUGGCCUACCAAGGCGGCGACGGGUAGCCGGCCUGAGAGGGUGGACGGCCACAGUGGGACUGAGAUACGGCCCAGACUCCUACGGGAGGCAGCAGUGGGGAAUAUUGCACAAUGGGCGGAAGCCUGAUGCAGCGACGCCGCGUGGGGGAUGACGGCCUUCGGGUUGUAAACUCCUUUCGGCCGCGAGGAAGCCACCUGGUUGGAAGGGUGGUGACGGUAGUGGUAGAAGAAGCACCGGCUAACUACGUG
rnacentral:rRNA from 1 species